rnacentral:misc_RNA from 1 species
CGCGUGUGCGGGGGCCCGGCGGGCGUGCCCGUCCGUCCGUCCGUCCGUCAGUCCGUCAGCCCGUCCGUCCCCCCUCGCGGCCUCGCUCCCCACGGCCCGCCGUGCGGGCCUUGGGGCUGGGGGCCCGGGGCUGCCGGCGGGGGGGGUGGCGGCCGCUCGGCUUCCGGGCCUCUCUCGCUCCCGCCCCCGCGGCCGGGGGGUGGCGGGCGUGAGGGUCCGGGCCGGGGGUCGCUCUUCCGCUCCUUCUUGGGUCGACCAGAUGUCGGCCGCGGCCGACGGACUUGGCCUCUUGCCUGCCGUAUCUGAGGUCGACCAGCAGGCCCUCUCGUCCGAAGCGAAGCGAAUCGCUUGUGCGGCCGGGCGCCGGACUGCGGCGCGCA